UUUGUUCGUUUUUUGUUUUUUUAUGUUUGUUGUUCGUUAUUCGUUGCUUUGCGUUCAUUAUAAUGGCCUUGAAACUUUAAACGAUGCAAGAGACUAAAUACGUUCAACAGCACGAAAACCACAUUUAAUUUCAAAGCUAAAAACAAGCGCGCCGUAACAUCGAACAAAAAACUUCCCAAGACUAGUUCCUGUGUAUUCGAAACAGCAGAAAACAAUUUUCGUAUGCUUAGUAAAAACUAGUGUUCCGUUUGAAACAAAAAAAGUAGCGAAUUCCGGUCGGACACGGAAAAACAAUGAGCACAUCCUCAGUUGCCGCCGCAGCAUAUGCGCUUGCUGUCAACUUACAACAAAGUAACCGAAAAUGCUUUUAAACAAAAAAUAGUUUUACAGUUAUUACCGGAUUUUAAUGUAUUCCCACACAUGCUGACACACACACACUAACAUGCACGCGGGCGUAUGUUGGCGACGAACAGUUCCUGUGCAAGUGCAAGUUUCAGCAAAAAGGAUUUGCAACUUUCAUUUGUUGUCGUUGUUGCUGUUGUGAUGUUCAUACUUGUGGGACAAACGAUGCUAUUAAGGGGAAACGAUAACACCCCUCCUUUUUUCCGUCAUUCUUGCUGUGUUUUUUCCGCUGCGAUCACGGAGGAGAUUCGAUUUGGUGCCAACAAAAGCGAAAGCAGUCUCCACUCUCCAACUACAACUUCGACCACCUCCAGGUGUGUCGUGUACUCAAUGCAAAUUCGCUCAGUAGUUUUCUAUGGCUGUCGGUCAACGGUAGAAUCGCAGGUCAUUACGCGAUCGGGGAAAAUAGUACUAAACGCGUAAGUAAAAUAUAAAAAAAAAAACAUAUUUUGUAUUGUGUAAAUUUGUGAAAGCAGUGCUUGCUGAAUAUUAGGUGAAAAUUUGUUUUGUGAAUGAUAACAUGUGUGCAAGUUUCUAGUGUAAAUGUAAAGUGUAAAAAUUGCAAAGUUAAGUGGAAGACAAAGAGUCAAAAGUAAAGUGUAAGAAAAGUGCAAUAAUAGUAUAAAAGUGCAUAUUGAUUGCGUUUAAAAGUAAAAUCUUAAAUUUAAUUAAUACAUAUAAAUAUAUUCAACUAUAAAUAUUUAUUGUUAACGUAAUUGAUACCAAAUUGUUCUUCAUUGCGUCCGUUGGUUUUUGUGUUUUGUUAUCCACCAUUCGUUACUCUUCGUUCAUGUGUUGGCCUUUCCACUUUCAACAAUGAAGUGUGGAAUAUUCU